GGCGGCCAUGUUGGCCCCAGCGCUGUGUUUUCAGCAGCUUUGUUGUGGCCUCUUCCCCCCAGCCCCCACCUCACCACCCGCAACUGUUCGCUCCCCUUCCGGCGGCGGUGGCGAAAUGGAAGCGACCUGGGGCGCCUUCAUAUUUCAGGUCUCGUUGCUGGGUAGUGACAGGAGUAGGAACCCUGGUUGACGUCUUUCCAUCUAUCUCUGCUCUUCUCACCUCCCACGGGUCCAGGUGUAUCAUGCCAUGCUUUAGAUCUCAGUACAGACCAGCGGACAGACUUUUAGCAGCCGAUAUCUCUCAGCAGCAACACCAGCAGCACGUGCAGAAUAGCCUUCUGCCAAUAUUGCAUUCAUCGACCGAGCCACGUGAGCAAGCACCCGUGACAACACUGCCCCAGCCUCAGAAAACCCCGGAUCCCAAAGAAGCACCCAAACCUACGGUAGAGAAGAAGGAGAAGACCAGAACACCCGUGAUUUGCAGUUACUGCAGCAAGGCAUUCAGAGACAGUUAUCACCUCCGGCGACAUGAGUCAUGCCACACAGGAAUCAAGUUGGUCUCACGGCCAAGGAAGGUACCGACCAUGGUUUCGCUGAUGUCAUCGGCACCUGGCAUUGGUGGCACGACAACACUGGUGUCAACCGUUGCAGGGAUGCUGACUUCGACCGACGCUUCCACCUCCACUGUCACCAGCAGCACCUCGGCAGUCACGACCAGCAAGAAUGCCAGCAGACGAGUGAAGAAGAACCACGGCUGCGAACUGUGCGGAAAAGCAUUCCGCGACGUUUACCACCUCAACCGGCACAAACUUUCUCACUCGGAUGAAAAGCCGUUCGAGUGCCCGGUUUGCCAGCAACGCUUCAAGAGGAAGGACCGCAUGAGUUAUCACGUGCGCUCGCACGAAGGGGGCAUCAACAAACCAUACAUCUGCAGCCUUUGUGGGAAAGGAUUCUCCAGGCCUGAUCAUCUGAGCUGUCAUGUCAAGCAUGUUCAUUCCACAGAGAGACCCUUCAAAUGUCAAACUUGUGAUGCAGCUUUUGCCACCAAAGACCGCCUGCGUUCACACAUGAUACGCCAUGAGGGGAAGGUGUCUUGCCACAUCUGUGGUAAACUGCUGAGUGCAGCUUACAUCUCCAACCACAUCAAAAUGCAUAAUCACAACCAAAAUCACAACUGCAAUGUUUGUAACAAAGGUUUCACCACGGCUGCCUACCUUCGGGUCCAUGCUCGAAAUCACCAUGGUGUCCAUUACAAGUCUCAAAGAUUUGUGUGUGAUCAGUGUGGCCUGCAAUGUCAGUCCCACAACCACCUGAUUGGCCACAAGAAAAGUCACAUGGGAGAGACCCCAACUUCCAGUGCCCCCUCUGUGGCAGCAGUGGCUUUAAAAGAUUUUCCUCCCAUGGAUGCCACUUUUUCCCUCGCAUCCCCCUUCAGGGGAGGACUUCACUACAGCUACUGUCAAUGCCACUCCACAAUUGGCCAGCAGGAAACGCAAUUGAAAUGGGGCGAGUUGGAUCCUGCCUGCUUUCCUGCCACCUCACCCCACCUGACAUGGAAUGCCUUGGUACUGCGUGGCGCUUCAUCUAGCAGCCCAGUUGAGAACUGACAAAACUUACCAAACUGAGCUCUGCAGUGACCAAUUCCUGAAGACUUUUCGAAUUGAAAUUAUGUUAAAAGUGGAUACACCGGUGAGGUUUGCCACACUCCAGCUCCUGCCGCAAGUCCAGUGAAUAUAACAAUUAGGCCUGUGGAGAGUGUGCCUUUUCUGUCCCAGGUCUUGCCGACAUCUCCACCAUGGUGAAAGAUAUUAGAAGCAAGUGCCACGGUAGCAAUGGAUGAGUUAGGACCUUAUUUCCCAGCAGAUAUGCUGGUACCUGAAAUGAAUUAAACCCAGGAUCUUCUGUUAAUUCUACGAAGAAGAUGAAGAGAUGUUGAGUGGUCUAUCUCCAAGGAGAAAAAAAAAAAUCAGUUUUGUGGUUUUUCUGACUAUGUAAAAUUGUGGUCUAAUGUCCAGGCUCUGGAUUUAUUGACUAGUUAAAAGGUAGGUUAUACAUCUGUCUGUAUCAUUCCUGUACCUCCAUCUGGGAAUAUAUUGGUAAUUUGUGUUGAAAAAUGGACACACAUACUAAUGUCUAAAUAUGUAUAUAGACAAAGCUGUUCUACUUAAUGGAUCCUGUUCUGUCAGAACAAGAACAUGAAAUGAAUUUUAAUUGGUGAAAGGCUGAAGAAUUGCUUUUCACUUAUUUGGUUGUAUACUGUCACCACUGCUUAAUGUUGCAUCCAUUUGUACAAUUUGAACUCAUUACACUGAGCAAGGACAGACAGCAAGAAAAAUAAACAGUUCCUAGGUGGAACGCCUGGAAGGUGCAGGUAUUUGAAAUGUUAUACAGUACCUGCACUUUUCUUGGAAUCUACAUGCCCGGAAAUCAUAAUUUACUAUAUAAAUGCAUCUAAAGUUGCAACCUUGUUUUGAGGAAUGCUCUGAAUCACAUUGGUGUUACUUUGCACUGGUGUAUAAGUUGUUCCCCUACAUUAUUGAGGACUUGAAAAUGAGCAUCAUAUACAAGCAGGUGCUGGCUCUUACUGUACUGUCUCUUCUGUAACUAUUGUCAUUUGAUUUGGCUCUUAAGUUGGAGUGUUAUAGAAAUGUUACCCAUCUUAUGCUUUUUAUUUUAGUCUUCAAAUGUGGAAUUUAACUAUUUUUUAUCUGCAAGUAUUGGGACUUUGUUUCUCUGGAAUACAGGUAUGGACAAUUCAACUUGUCCAGUGUUCAUUGCUAUUAAUUUUGGAUCAGUCAGCAGACCAUGUUCCCACAGACAAACAGUAAUUCAUAAUGUCACACUCUAUUCUGUUUUGUAGCAUUGACACCCUGGUGGUAAAAAUGGAGUACUUGAAAUGUGCCCCUUAAAUCCAGUUUAUGAACUAGUUUUGUUUUAGAAAGGAAGUGAUCAUCAUAGUUUAGCUUUGCUCCUCCUGAAACCAUUAAUGGUAUCAAGACAAAUGAAAGUAAUUACCUUUACAGAUUCUCCAAAGUAAUAGUUUGUACAGUUUGUAUAAUCCCCCCCCGCAACCCCCCACCUGCCGCACCCCCAGCAUUUUACCUUAUUGAAACUUGCAGAAUCAUGAUUCUCUAUUUAAUAAGAAAUUCAACUUUAUUUCAAACCAUUCAAAAUGAGAUGGAUUCAUCUUUCUGGUUAUGUUGCCUACAGAGUAUUUCCCUCAAUUCUGUAUGCUUUCAUUGUGUUGGGUUUCUACUUUGCUUCAUGGUGCCACUUGCUGUACUCCCCUAAAACUUCCAGAAGCUGGUAAAGCAGUAAAUAUAUUUAAGGUAUUUGGAGGGCAUAGUGAGUAACUGGACUGAGCUAUACAAAUUAGAAAGGUGUUGGGUGAAGGAGAAAAAUUAGGCAGUGUUCACACUCCUGAUUGCUGGUCAGUUGCCUUUGCUGGGAAACGUGUGUGGACUGGGACUGAUGACAAUAUUGGGCUUGGGAAUGAUGUCAAGAAACCCACUGUGGUGGAAUAGCCAGCCAGUGCUCAUUGUCUAGGGUCACGUAUGAAGCAAUUUGGUGAGGUACUGAAUGGAAUUUGUUGCCUGCAACAAUAUGGCAGCAGGUGUCUCCACCUUAUGAUCUGGAACAGAAAAAAAUUAUUAAGAGGAAAAAUAUUGAUUUGAGUUGUGCACUUUAUUCUGUGAGUUGCUCAAUUUUUUUUUUUCAGAAGUGAUUGAAAUACUAAUUGAUCCUCCAUUAUUCUGCAGUAUGCACAAUAUGCCAACCAGUGUGAGAAAGGCAAUAGCUCAGGAUUUUACUAGUAGAUGUUUAACAACCAAUCUGUGGUGUCUAAAGCCAGAUGUAACUUUUUGUUUCUUUGUCUCUUUAAAGUGUCCAGCAUUUUGGGAAUGAUUUUCUAACUUUAAAUUUCCAAAACACAGCUUAUUGUAACACUCUGGUGAUUCUGGUUUCACAGUUUGGUCUUUUACAUGUUUUUACCUGUUCAGCAAUAUUUUUAGUGAGGUACAGUAUUAAUAUGCUGUAGUUUAAUUACACCCCACUGUAUGUCCUGGUGUCUAAUAUUCUCGCGUCUAGAGUGUACUAUAUUCAUGAACCAUGCAAUAUUUUAGCCUGUUGUUUCAUUUGAAGAAGGACUGAUCUGCCUCAUGUUUUAAUGAUCGGAAUUUGCAGCUAUGGCAUGGUUCGUAAUUAAAACUUCUCAAGUGCACAAGUAAUAUCUACAGUGUAUCUAUCCAUUUCUAUUGCUUUUUGAAUAUCCAGAGCUCACAGUAUAUUACCAACAUACAGCUAUAGUAGUGCAUUUUAGUGACCACAUUUCCUUGAUAGACAUUUUACAGCGUAUUCUGAAUCUAUUUCCUGGUAUAAACCAGGCUUCGUUGCUUUCCUCCAACUUUGGCCUUCUUCCUAACCCUUUCCCAAUUCCUCAUACAGGGCUGAGCAGGUUAUAGUUGCAGGAGGUCAAAUUAAUUUUCAUUUUUUGGAAAGGUGCCCUUUGGAGGGAUGAAGUACAACUGAAACACAUUACUCCCUUUGAAACUAUCACUUGUACUGAAAAAAGAUAAAUUUGAUCAACCUGUGAGAAGGAAAUAGAAAUGCUUUAGUUUCAAAUGAAGGUUUUUUUUUAAGAAUUAAGGCGUGGGUGGAACCAAAACAAAAGGCAAUUGUUGGACAUCUAAAAGGAAAACUCUUAUGCUGGAGACGUGCAGCUAGCCCAUUAACAUGGGUAAAGAGAAGCAUACCUGAUUAAUGUUUCUACUUUUUUUAGAAUUUAAAACUGAAAGUUUUGCCACAUCUCUCGAGUCCUUUGUGCAAUUAUUGAUUAUGAAAUAGAGGUAUAAGUUGUUUCCCAAUACCAUUGCUUUUCACACGUGCAUGUUUGAAAACUGUUUACAACUGCGCUCUGUACAGUAGUGCUGCUUACUACCUCAGCAACCUUUUCAUUUUCCUCAUUGGGAAAUAAAGCACCAUGACCCAUUGUACACUUUAGAAAAUUGUUGAAGAAUUAUGCACCCUAAUGUAAAUUUAAAAUGUUCUCAGACUUAACUAUUUUUGUUAAAAUUAUGCAUUGUGUAUAUUUGUAAUGCAUUGGUUAAGCUUUAUUUUGCUUUUCUUUAUAACCUUGCUCUACAAUUAAUCAUGGACUUAAAAAAUGAAUACUUUGUGGUUUUUCUAAGUGUGCGAGAUACUGUCUUGUUUGCAUAAUUGAAGAUAUCACCUUUGAGUCCUCUGAUGACUUUAAAAAAAUUAGUUUCCUAUUAAAACUGAAUUCUAAAAUCCUGUUCUCCAUCACCUGGGCAUGAGAAAUACUUCUUAAAUUUACUAUGACAGUUAAGUAAUUGAACUCAGCAGGUUGUUGCACUGUUUGUGUAGCUCAUUACAUAUGGCAUUGUUGCCAAAACCUUCAGUUAAUAUGUGGACAUUAACAUCUCAGAUGCACAUUCAUUUGCCAAGCAGAGGUUCGCCAUGGGUUGGUUAAGAAUAACUAGUAACAUUGUUCCCCACUCUGGUUCUCAGUAGUUGUCAACCUUUUACAAUUUGGAUUUGGGAUGAUUUUUCUUGUGUAGAUGAAUGCAGUAGCAGAGAUUAUAUCAUGAGACUAGUAAUCCAAAGACCUCAACUAAUGACCUGGAGACACAAAUUAAAAUCCCACCAUGUUAGCUGGGGAAUUUAAUUAUAAAAUUAUAAUUAUAAAUUAAAUUUUAUUAUAUAAAUGAAUUAAUUAAAUAUGAGUAAAUGUCAGUAAUGGUAACCUCCAAACUACCAGAUUUUUGUAAAAACCCACCCAGUUCACUUAUGUCCUUUCUUACCGGACGUAAGGCCUAAUGUAACUGCAGACCCACAGCAACGUGGUUGACUUUGAACUGCCCUCGGGAAUAGCCUAGCAAGCCACUCGGUUGUCAAGGAGGUGGCUUACCGCCGCCCCCUCAAGGGCAAUUAAGGAUAGAUAAUAAAUGCUGUCCUUACUGGUGUCGCCCAUAUCCGGUGAUUAAAUUCAUUUUUAAUAAAUGAUUUGUGAGGAGUCAUUAAAGAUGAUGCAUGGUCCAGAAGCCUGGAGAGUCAAAAGAUUUGCGUAUGGUGCAGUCACUACGAUAAAUAGCUUCUCGAAAAGGGUUUAAGUUUUGUUUUCUUAAACAAAUAAAAACGCUUUAUUUUCCCCGGGGAUUGUGCUUGGACUGCAAAUCUAUGUCAACAUCUCCACCAAUACUUUUCAGAAAUUGACUGCUGGAAGCUGGUCAAGAGUAGUUGCCAAUAUUCACUUAUUGUCCUUUACCCUCAAUGUGGAAGGUUCUUGGUGUCCACUCAGUACCUCAUCAACUAAUGUACUCAAGACAAGUUGCAAAACUUUUUGUGCAACAUUGCAGGUACAAGCCCAUAUCCUAUUGCCAACAAUAGUGCAUUAGGGUUUCAACAUUCUAAACCACUGUGGUGUCUGCUGUAGCUACACCUCGAAAUGUUCAGGUUGCAGCGUAAAUGCAGUCAAAUUACAAUUAACAAUUAAUUAACAUUUUAUUUCCUGUUUGUGUUUAAAAACAAAGGUGGGAUGUGAGAACAAUAGUGCACAGUAUUAGGAGUUCUGAACUGAUUCUUGACCAUGGUGCUUGCAUUUUUUGUUGACAUUGAAGAAGUGGGAAUUUGUAUUCAUGAGGUUAUAUCUGAUUUUAGAAUUCCAUUCCCACACUUUACAAUCAGCUUGAGUCUCAUCUUGUAACCCUUUUUAAACUGAAAAUAAUUGGAAGUUGUGGAAAGCUGGCACCACCAUGAUUUUCAGCUGUAGUGCUUUUUUUCUCUGUUUUGUUUCCCUUGUUUUGUUGUACGCUCCUUCCUUGGUCCAUCAAAGGUAGCGGACAGCCAACCUGUUCCCAGCUCUCUGUGACUGCCAGGAGAUAUCCAUCCCUCUGGACUCAACCUGACAAACAAACCUGGAUUGGUCUCUGCCUGGUAGAAUAAUGUUCGAAGCAAUUGUACUUGAGUUUUAUUUUAUAGUUAGUUACUAAUCAGCUGCUUAUGAUGCAUGGUAAAAUUUAUAUUUUCUGUAGCUUUUUAUUUAACCAGCCGAAAACAAGGGAAAGUAAUGGGUAUGAUGCUAAAUAAGCGGUUCAGAGUUCGCAUCUCACCAUGGCAAGUUGGGAAACUGAAUUUGUUAAAAAGUCUAAUUUGUGGGUUGGCACCAGAUAACUAUGAAAGAUGCUGGAUUAGCAAAAACCCAACUGGUUCAUUAAUAUUCUUCAAGAAAGGGAACAUGCCACCCAUUCCUGUUUUGGCUUGCAUUUGACUCCAGUCCCACAUUAUAGGAUUGACUCUUGAUGCCCUCAGGGCAAUUUAGGGAUGGGUAAUAAAUUGCUGCCUUGCCUGCAACCCCCACUCCUGAGAGAGGAAAAACAAGGAUGUGAGCGUUCAUGGGAAGGGGUAAAGAAUUUGUUACUCGCUCAAGUCAACUGAACUCAAGCUAACAUUUUUCCUUCUGCUUUAAAAGGAUUCUGUGCUUUUCUGAGCGAUGUUCUGAAGUUAAAAGUGGAGGUGCAUUGUUGAGAUUCAGGAGGAGGAGCUUGACUUUGCAUCUGUAAUUUAAUUUGCAUGUUCAAUUAUGGGCUUCCUAUAGUUCCUAGCUAUGAAAAUCAAAGUGUGUAAUAACUGCUUAACAUUGAUUAAACCUAAUUACACUGAUAAAAUUGUCUUUCUCUUAUGCUUUUCCUGCAAAUACCUACAACAGCAACAACAACAACAAAGUGCUAUAAUAACCUUUCAUAAGAGUGUCACAUUGGAGCUAGGCCAUUUAGAAGUGAAACCAGGAAGCACUUAUUCCACCAGGAGGGCAGUAGGAAUCUGAAACUACCUUUCCCCAAAUGGCUGAGGCUGCUGGGACAAUUUCAAGACUCAGAUUGUUGGACAUUUGUUGGGUAAGAAUAUCCGGUGUUGUAGAGUUGAGGUACAGAUCAGCCACAAUCAAAGUGACAGCAGGCAUGAGGAGCCCCUGUUCUUAUAUCCAUAUUUUUGUAAAAACAAUUGUUUCAAGACUGCAAUGGCAGCAAAAUUAUCUUUUUUUAAUUGAAGGAUGGUCAGAAAUUGAAAUACAUUUUAUUCUUGAACUGUAGUUUGCAGGCUUUUUGAUCGACUUGCCAACUAGUAAAUAUAGAACAGCACGAAGUAUUUAACAUUAUAGCUUUCCAUUGACCAACCUCUGCUAAAAGUACUUGCACUGUUUGGGUAUAGAUCCAUAGACAUUGCAACAACCUUUUUUCCUAACUAAAUUCCUUUUUAAAAUAGGGUUGGGGGGGGGGGGAAGGGGGAAAGAAACCAAAAAAAAUUGUGUACAUAUAAAGACUUUGGACCUUCUGUUUGUUAGAAAAGACAUAACAUUUUGGCACAUUCCCAUUUCUUGUAUCUGCUUGUUUCAGUGUUAAAAGUUAUGCUAUAACUUUGCCUUUCAUUCAGGGUAUGCUUCCCCCUUGAGUUAAAAGCAUAAAAUGAUGCUUAAUUUCUUUGAAAUAGGAAACUUAGUCUGAUAUCAUAGGGAGUUGUAGAAAUCAAAAAUGAUAACCUUUAAUAAAAGAGAGGAAAACCACUCUUGUAUUGCGAUCUACAUUUUUGUUUGUCUUUGCUUUUGAGUGCUGUUCUCGGGGAUGGUCUGAUGAAAGUGGACAAUAUUUUCAAGCUGUCCAUUCUGAACUCCUUCCAAAGAGAUUGGAGUAUGACAAGUCUUAUUGCAAUUGUAUAGGGCCUUGAUGAAAUCACACUGGGAGUACUGUGUACAGUUUUGGUCUCCUUACUUAAGGAAGAAUACGCUUGUCUUGGAGGGAGUGCAACAAACAUUCACGAGACAGAUUCCUGGGGUGAGCAGUUGUCCUAUAAAGAGAAAUCAGGUUCGGUCCAUAUUCUGACGUUUCGAAGACAGAAGUCAUUUCAUUAAAACAUAAAAUUCUUAAUGGGCUUCACAAGAUAAAUACUGGAAGGAUUUUUCCCCCACUAGGAGUCUAGAAUUAGAGAUCACAGUUUCAGAAUAAAGAUUGAACCAUUUAGGACUAAGACAAGAAAUGCCUGAACUCAGAAGGGUUGUGAAUCUUUGAAAUUCCCGACAUAAGAUCUGGGGUAUGGAUGGUGUAUGGGUUGAGUAUAUUCAAGCCACAAACUGGUAGGUUUUUGGAUAUGAAGGGAAUUGAGAUAUGGGAAUAUUGUGGGGAAAUGUAGCUGAGGAAGAUGAUCAGUUAAGACUGUUGAAUGGCAAAGCAGGGCUUGAAGGGCAGAAUAGCUUACUCUUGCUCCUAAUUCUUAAAUAAAAUGAGCAGGUGACUUUAAAAUGGGCCAGGGAGUUGAUGUUGUUUCUAGGUGGUGUUGCAAGGAUAUGGGUUGCUAAGCAAUGUUGUUUGUUGUGGAGUACAUUCAUUCCAGUUGCUCCUGAUUUGAAUAAGCCUGAAAUCCCUCUUUUAAGGAAAACUGCCAAUUGCCUGGUAUCUUCUCCCGAAGUGUGGAAUAUUUUAAUUGUAUUUGUGAAUCAUUGAUCGUGAGGUUGACAUUUUCUGCAUUUUAUUAUAAGAAACUUGCUCGCUAAAGAGUAAAGAUCUGCUUUUGAUUCAGUUUUCAGAAAGUGUUCCCAUUAUCUGGCACCAGCUUUUGUCUCUUGAACCAAACAUUAUGACCCCCCAAGUACAAAAAUCAGCACAUUUAGUGAUUUUACCUUGGUGGUUUAUUUGUGUGUUGCCCAUGACCACAACUCACUAACUAACCAACCAAAAUUUUGAGUAACUGAUAGAUGACUGAGUUUACUCAAUUAUAUUCUCUCUACUCUUUUGGAAUCCUCUUCUGACCAAUUUCAUAAGCAAUGCCAAGACUCAAAUCAGCCAGAAAUUGUACCCAAGUAGAAUAGGCUUCUACCAUUCAAUAUAAUAAGACAUUGUACUGAAAUCCUCUCAAAAUAUUAGGUAAAGUACAGUAGCUGUUAUGGAAAACUGGGUUUUAUUGUUUUUUUAACUGCCCGAUGAAUUUUAUUAAAUAGGCCUAGAUACAGAGCUUUCACAAGGUAACAAUAUAUAUGGUACACCUCCAUUUCAGUGUAUAUCAGAAAAUCCAUCCAUCCUUGUUUCUGAACAUAAAACCUUAGACACUAAUUCAAGGAUUGUGUUCUCCACACCAUGGAGUUUACCAUUUGUAAGUAACUGAUAAUAAGUUUAGCUUGUGAAGAUUUGCUGCAUCUCAAAAUAGAAUGCUAAUUUACAGGAACAAUUUCAACUAGAUUAUAUAAAAAACAUUUUAAUUGCACGGUAUACAGAAUUCGUCUGCCUUUUUUUGGUUAUGCAAUAGUAAUGUCACUAAGGGAUCAGGACAUGACAACUCUAAGAUUGUGCAUCUCUCCAAACAAAUAAAAAAUUCUGUCUUAAAAUAAAAAUGUAACCCACACAUAUACAAUUCAAAAUAAUAAAUGCCCGGAAGUGAUUUCAAGGGUUUACUUUUGCAACCAAUUGCCCUGUGAUCUCCAUGAUUAGAUUGCAGUCUUUAUAAAUCACUGCAAGAUAUGUUACACUUUACUUCUGACCCCUUCCAUGACCAUGUCGGGGUGGGGAGGUGCGUGGGUGAAUUCAUGAAAUGUUCACUUCAGAACUUCCUAUGGUAACAGCCACUUGUGAUUGGUUGCUGCACUGUUGGAACACACAUUCAUGGGGUCGUCAGCUCUUAUGUUCAGUGCUUUUUUAGUUAUUGCCUACAAAUUUUCAAAUUUUAAAAAAGAUUCUCCAUCAGGUUUUUGAGAGUAUUAGAUUUAUUGUGUUUUGCUGACCAUCAAAGUCACACUGUGCAGUGAAGACAUCUGCCAUACUUUGCUUGUGUUAAAUUCUUACAACUACCUUUUGUGUCUACUGCUCUGCCUAGUAUUUGCGUAUAGUACAAAAUUGUGUCAUGAUAAAAAUGAUUUCCUGUUAUAUUGUGUUCUGAUAACUUUUUGCUUUUUAUAUAUCUUGUGCUGUAUAUUCAGUGUAACUUUUAGCAGGAAGAAAAUGUUACCUGACCAUAGAUUUGUAGAUAACCUGUUCAGUAUGUAUUAUUGAAACUUUGAAUAAAUUUUUUUUUU